CAAGAUACACAGGAUCCCUGUGAGCUACAAAUGCUUUUCUUGUGGCCUAGAUUGUGGUUGCCAGUGUCUGCUCCACAGGCAUCUUUGCGGCAGUACUUAAGCCCUCACCAUCUUUCACUACCAACCACACAUCCAG
rnacentral:lncRNA from 1 species